UACAGAGGGUGCAAGCGUUGUUCGGAAUCAUUGGGCGUAAAGCGCACGUAGGCGGCUUCGCAAGUCAGGUGUGAAAGCCCAGGGCUCAACCCUGGAAGUGCACUUGAAACUGCGAGGCUUGAAUGUCGGAGAGGGCAGUGGAAUUCCGAGUGUAGAGGUGAAAUUCGUAGAUAUUCGGAGGAACACCAGUGGCGAAGGCGACUGCCUGGACGAACAUUGACGCUGAGGUGCGAAAGCGUGGGGAGCAAACAGG
rnacentral:rRNA from 1 species